rnacentral:rRNA from 1 species
AUUGAACGCUGGCGGCAGGCCUAACACAUGCAAGUCGAACGAGUGGCGGACGGGUGAGUAAUGUCUGGGAAACUGCCUGAUGGAGGGGGAUAACUACUGGAAACGGUAGCUAAUACCGCAUACCAUCAGAUGUGCCCAGAUGGGAUUAGCUAGUUGGUGGGGUAACGGCUCACCAAGGCGACGAUCCCUACCUGGUCUGAGAGGAUGAUCAGUAACACUGGAACUGAUACACGGUCCAGAAUCCUACAGGAGGCAGCAGAGGGGAAUAGUGGACAAUGGGCGAAAGCGUGAUCCAGCCAUGCCGCGUGUGUGAAGAAGGUCUUCGGAUUGUAAAGAACUUUAAGUUGGGAGGCGUUACCAACAGAAUAAGCACCGGCUAACUUCGUACCAGAAGCAGCGGUAAUUC